rnacentral:misc_RNA from 1 species
GUGUGUGACUCGUUGGUUUUUUAGAGUCAGGAUUAAAAAAAGGACUGACCCAUACUAUGAACUAAUAAGUAUAAGUAUACAACUAAUAACCAACUCAUCGCUUUACAUUAUCUGGAUCCAAAGAAACAAUCAAGAUAUGAUAUAUUGGUCAUAUCAUUGUAACAAUUGAAAUCCUUUUUACACAAACAAAAGAAAAACCAAUCUGAUUAUGAGUUGUAAAUCAAAAUAAAAAAUUAUGCAGAUAAGUGGAAGGGUGAAAGAAAGAAAAAGAAUAUCAAAGAAUAUCAAUGAUAUAUGAUUCCAAUAUGUAAGGUCUAUGAGUCAUCAUAUAAAAGCUAAUGUAGUAAAGCAUCAAUACCAAUUGAUCUAUAAUUAAACUAAUCCGUUCAUAAAACAAAAAAUCAAGAGCCUCGAGCCAAUAAAGACUGAGAAGAUUGACUCAAGAACAAAAAGGCUCCAUUGUAAAAUUAAGACCUAACCAUUAAUGGAGAAGCGAUGGGAACGACGGAACCUGUAAAUACAUAAGAUUUUUUUGAAAACAAGUCUUAAUGAUUUAUUGGGAGGAUAGCGAAAAGAACCAUAAGACAAUCCAUUUAUUCUGAAAGAUCAUGGGUUAUCUCUACAAAUGAAAUAAAUAUUGAAAGAGUAAAUAUUCGCCCGCG